rnacentral:misc_RNA from 1 species
UUUGGAUGAAAAAUGCCAAGCUCUUGGCCCUGUUGACGUGCGUGAUUGUUCUAUUGCUGUACAUAAUAAUUGCUGCUGCUUGUGGAGGCAUCACUCUACCUUCAUGCAGGUCUUGAUUGGCUGUUUUACCGGCAUUGAAUAUGCUGAGGUAUGGUAAUGAAUUGUGAAAUUCUGCAGUGAGAUGUGAAAUUUUGAGUCUUUACGAGGAAUCUAUAUACCUCUACAAGGUGCCAGAAAUAAUACUGUAGUUUGUCAUGCUGUUGUUGCAUAUGGCACAAAUGAUAUAUGCUUUGAGAAGCCCUGUAUGCCUCACUUUUAUUGUCAUGAAUCAUCUGUGUAUACUGUAAUUUAAUGUUAGUUUUGGAAUAGAUAUUUUUUUCUAAUAGAAAAAUAUUGGAGUCCUUAAAUAUCAAAAAAUUACAGUAUACACAGAUGAUUCAUGA